rnacentral:rRNA from 1 species
CUCCCCCUACGGGACGCAGCAGUAGGGAAUCUUCCACAAUGGACGAAAGUCUGAUGGAGCAACACCGCGUGAGUGAAGAAGGGUUUCGGCUCGUAAAGCUCUGCUGGUAGGGAAGAAAGAUAGAGGUAGUAACUGGCCUUUAUUUGACGGUAAUUAAUUAGAAAGUCACGGCUAACUACGUGCCAGCAGCCGCGGUAAUACGUAGGUGGCAAGCGUUGUCCGGAUUUAUUGGGCGUAAA